AUUGAACGCUGGCGGCAGGCCUAACACAUGCAAGUCGAGCGGAUGAAGGGAGCUUGCUCCUGGAUUCAGCGGCGGACGGGUGAGUAAUGCCUAGGAAUCUGCCUGGUAGUGGGGGAUAACGUCCGGAAACGGGCGCUAAUACCGCAUACGUCCUGAGGGAGAAAGUGGGGGAUCUUCGGACCUCACGCUAUCAGAUGAGCCUAGGUCGGAUUAGCUAGUUGGUGGGGUAAAGGCCUGCCAAGGCGACGAUCCGUAACUGGUCUGAGAGGAUGAUCAGUCACACUGGAACUGAGACACGGUCCAGACUCCUACGGGAGGCAGCAGUGGGGAAUAUUGGACAAUGGGCGAAAGCCUGAUCCAGCCAUGCCGCGUGUGUGAAGAAGGUCUUCGGAUUGUAAAGCACUUUAAGUUGGGAGGAAGGGCAGUAAGUUAAUACCUUGCUGUUUCGACGUUACCAACAGAAUAAGCACCGGCUAACUUCGUG
rnacentral:rRNA from 1 species